rnacentral:rRNA from 1 species
CAAUAGCGUAUAUUAAAGUUGUUGCAGUUAAAAAGCUCGUAGUUGGAUUUGUGGUUCGUCCCGCCGGCUGGGUCAUUGACUUUUGCUGUGCUGGUCGUCCAUCCUUGGGUGGAAUCUGUGUGGCAUUAGGUUGUCGCGCAGGGGAUGCCCAUCGUUUACUGUGAAAAAAUUAGAGUGUUCAAAGCAGGCUUAUGCCGUUGAAUAUAUUAGCAUGGAAUAAUGAUAUAGGACCUUGGUACUAUUUUAUUGGUUUGCGCACUGAGGUAAUGAUUAGUAGGGACAGUUGGGGGUAUUCGUAUUCCAUUGUAAGAGGUGAAAUUCUUGGAUUUUUGGAAGACGAACUACUGCGAAAGCAUUUACCAAGGAUGUUUUCAUUAA